rnacentral:rRNA from 1 species
GACGAACGCUGGCGGGCGUGCUUAACACAUGCAAGUCGAGCGGUGAAGCCUUCGGGUGGAUCAGUGGCGAACGGGUGAGUAACACGUGAGCAAUCUGCCCUUGACUCUGGGAUAACUUCGGGAAACCGGAGCUAAUACCGGAUAUGACAUCUGGCCGCAUGGUCUGGGGUGUGGAAAGAUUUAUCGGUCAAGGAUGAGCUCGCGGCCUAUCAGCUUGUUGGNGGGGUAAUGGCCCACCAAGGCGACGACGGGUAGCCGGCCUGAGAGGGCGACCGGCCACACUGGGACUGAGACACGGCCCAGACUCCUACGGGAGGCAGCAGUGGGGAAUAUUGCGCAAUGGGCGGAAGCCUGACGCAGCGACGCCGCGUGAGGGAUGACGGCCUCGG